GUCUAUGGCCAUACCACCCUGAACGCGCCCGAUCUCGUCUGAUCUCAGAAGCUAAGCAGGGUCGGGCCUGGUUAGUACUUGGAUGGGAGAUGUGGUACAUGGUGACUCUGGGAAUCCCAGAAACUCUGCACU
rnacentral:rRNA from 1 species